GCCGCGUGAGUGAUGAAGGUUUUCGGAUCGUAAAACUCUGUUGUUAGGGAAGAACAAGUACCGGAGUAACUGCCGGUACCUUGACGGUACCUAACCAGAAAGCCACGGCUAACUACGUGCCAGCAGCCGCGGUAAUACGUAGGUGGCAAGCGUUGUCCGGAAUUAUUGGGCGUAAAGCGCGCGCAGGCGGUCUUUUAAGUCUGAUGUGAAAGCCCCCGGCUCAACCGGGGAGGGUCAUUGGAAACUGGGAGACUUGAGUGCAGAAGAGAAGAGUGGAAUUCCACGUGUAGCGGUGAAAUGCGUAGAGAUGUGGAGGAACACCAGUGGCGAAGGCGACUCUUUGGUCUGUAACUGACGCUGAGGCGCGAAAGCGUGGGGAGCGAACAGGAUUAGAUACCCUGGUAGUCCACGCCGUAAACGAUGAGUGCUAAGUGUUAGAGGGUUUCCGCCCUUUAGUGCUGCAGCAAACGCAUUAAGCACUCCGCCUGGGGAGUACGGCCGCAAGGCUGAAACUCAAAGGAAUUGACGGGGGCCCGCACAAGCGGUGGAGCAUGUGGUUUAAUUCGAAGCAACGCGAAGAACCUUACCAGGUCUUGACAUCCUCUGACCUUCCUAGAGAUAGGACUUUCCCCUUCGGGGGACAGAGUGACAGGUGGUGCAUGGUUGUCGUCAGCUCGUGUCGUAAGAUGUUGGGUUAAGUCCCGCAACGAGCGCAACCCUU
rnacentral:rRNA from 1 species